CCAGACUCCUACGGGAGGCAGCAGUGGGGAAUAUUGCACAAUGGGCGCAAGCCUGAUGCAGCCAUGCCGCGUUUAUGAAGAAGGCCUUCGGGUUGUAAAGUACUUUCAGCGGGGAGGAAGGCGAUAAGGUUAAUAACCUUGUCGAUUGACGUUACCCGCAGAAGAAGCACCGUCUAACUCCGUGCCAGCAGCCGCGGUAAUACGUAGGGUGCAAGCGUUAAUCGGAAUUACUGGGCGUAAAGCGCACGCAGGGGGUCUGUCAAGUAGGAUGUGAAAACCCCGGGCUCAACCUGGGAACUGCAUUCGAAACUGGCAGGCUGGAGUCUUGUAGAGGGGGGUAGAAUUCCAGGUGUAGCGGUGAAAUGCGUAGAGAUCUGGAGGAAUACCGGUGGCGAAGGCGGCCCCCUGGACAAAGACUGACGCUCGGGUGCGAAAGCGUGGGGAGCAAACAGGAUUAGAUACCCCAGUAUAC
rnacentral:rRNA from 1 species